rnacentral:rRNA from 1 species
UGGGGCUAAUACCGGAUAUGACCGCUGACCGCAUGGUCUGGUGGUGGAAAGAUUUAUCGGCUGGGGAUGGGCCCGCGGCCUAUCAGCUUGUUGGUGGGGUAGUGGCCUACCAAGGCGACGACGGGUAGCCGGCCUGAGAGGGUGACCGGCCACACUGGGACUGAGACACGGCCCAGACUCCUACGGGAGGCAGCAGUGGGGAAUAUUGCGCAAUGGGCGGAAGCCUGACGCAGCGACGCCGCGUGGGGGAUGACGGCCUUCGGGUUGUAAACCUCUUUCAGCAGGGACGAAGCGGAAGUGACGGUACCUGCAGAAGAAGCACCGGCCAACUACGUGCCAGCAGCCGCGGUAAUACGUAGGGUGCAAGCGUUGUCCGGAAUUAUUGGGCGUAAAGAGCUCGUAGGCGGUUUGUUGCGUCGGCUGUGAAAUCCCGAGGCUCAACCUCGGGUCUGCAGUCGAUACGAGCAAACUAGAGUGUUGCAGGGGAGACUGGAAUUCCUGGUGUAGCGGUGAAAUGCGCAGAUAUCAGGAGGAACACCGGUGGC